UACGGAGGGUGCAAGCGUUGUCCGGAUUUAUUGGGUUUAAAGGGUGCGUAGGUGGCCUUCUAAGUCUGGUUUGAAAGUAGGUCGCUUAACGAUCUAAUGUGGCUGGAAACUGGGGGGCUUGAAUGCGUUGGCGGUAGCCGGAACGGGUCAUGUAGCGGUGAAAUGCAUAGAUAUGACCCAGAACACCGAUUGCGAAGGCAGGCUACUACGACUUGAUUGACACUGAGGCACGAGAGCAUGGGUAGCGAACAGG
rnacentral:rRNA from 1 species